GGGGGUGUAGCUCAGCUGGGAGAGCAUCUGCCUUGCACGCAGAAGGUCAGCGGUUCGAUCCCGCUCACCUCCACCA
rnacentral:tRNA from 1 species